CAUUGCCAAAAUUACUCAUCUUUGAGGUCUGCUGUGAAUUAUUUGUUCUUGUAUCUCAUUUGAGCUCUAUGACUCUUUCAGCAGCCAAAUGUGCCUAGCAGUUAAAAAAUCAAUAGACUCCUACUGAGGAGUAAGUGUGUUCCCAUCUCCUGCACUGAUUUGUUCUGUAACCUCUGACAGGACCACUUUACUCUUUGGUUCCCACUUUGAUUGUAAAACUGUAUGCAAUAACAACCCAGAGAGUGCAGUGGCAAUUCUUGAUAUUGGGGAACAGAGUCUCCUCUCCUCUGAUCAAUGUCCAGCAGCAGCAGAUUGGAGAUAUUUGCCUCCUUUGAUCAUCCUGCCCUUGCCCACCUUGGCCAACGCUUUUUCUGGAGAGCACCAUGAGACCCACAGGGCAGCAUAAUGCCACCAAGGAUCAAGCUCUGGUGCAAGUCUGCUGUGAGACCCCUUUCCCCUGCCAAGCCCUAGUGAAACUGUGAGCUGAACAGGAAUUUGCCAGCACAGAACUCACUACAGAGCUAACCAGGACCUAUGUUUACAUUAUCAGUCUAAUGUAGAGCCAAAUCUGUAAGUUUAUGGGUAACUGCAAGUCUUGCUGGCUUUAUCAUCAGGGUAUUUCUGAGAACUGCAAUAGCUGUGUUAAAAAACAGGAUCAUUUACAUGGAUCCCUAUGCAAGACCAUAAACCAGAUUUCUUCCAGACUUAAUACUGCUUUAUAAUCUCUAACAGUUAGCACCCAUACUGUUUGGGUUGCAAGAGACCUAAUUAGUCACCCUUAUGGCUUCCACCAGCAGUAGGGUAAGAGCAGCAGUUUUAAUUAAAAGUUUAUAUGCAAACAUAUCUCACAAUUUCUGUGUGACAAAUGAUUCUCCUCACCCUGUGGUUUCCCUGCUGCUGGUCAGAACAAAAUUCUUGUCUUUGCAGAAUUGAACCUUUUUGUCAAAACACAGGAAGACUGCAGUGAUUAUCAUACCUUUAUCUUGGACUUCUGUAUAAGAGCUUCCAGUUCUGAUUCUUCCCUUUCCAUGCAACCCUCUAAAAUGGACUUUUCUCACUUUGUGGAUACCUAAACCAGGCUGUUGCUACAAUUGCUGAUGUAAAUUCUUUCCAUAAACUGAAAGAAAGGUU